GGAUGGAUGUAGUUACUGGAAUGGGUACGAUUAGGGUGGUACGAGUUGUAUAGUUGGGUAUGGGUUGUUUGGUUACUUCAGUUAAUCUUAGACUUGGUAACUUAAGUAGGAUCUGAGUACAUAUGGCUCACCAUGAUCCGUAAGCUAGGGUAUGAGUCGUACCACAGACUCGUAUAGUGGUCAAUGUUCAAACCUUCUGGGAUUCUAUUCUGCCAAGGG
rnacentral:lncRNA from 1 species